AACGAACGCUGGCGGCAUGCCUAACACAUGCAAGUCGAACGAGACCUUCGGGUCUAGUGGCGCACGGGUGCGUAACGCGUGGGAACCUGCACUUAGGUUCGGAAUAACUCCCCGAAAGGGGUGCUAAUACCGGAUGAUGUCUUCGGGCCAAAGAUUUAUCGCCUUUGGGUGGGCCCGCGUUGGUUUAGCUAGUUGGUAGUGUAAAAGCCUACCAAGGCGACGAUCCAUAGCUGGUCGGUGAGGAUGCUCCGCCACACUGGGACUGCGACACGGCCCAGACGCCUACGGGAGGCAGCAGUGGGUAAUAUUGGACAAUGGGCGAUAGCCUGAUCCAGCAAUGCCGCGUGAGUGAUGAAGGCCUUAGGGUUGUAAAUCCCUUUUAGCCGGGAUGAUAAUGACAGUACCGGGAGAAUAAGCUCCGGCUAACUCCGUG
rnacentral:rRNA from 1 species